GCCAGAUAAUUGUUGUUUGAGCGGCAAUUUCCUUUUCCUCAAUUCUCCUUCACUUUCAUAUGAGCGGCAAAAGGUUUUUCCUCCAUCCUCCUUCAUUCAAUUCAAUUUUGAAACCGCUAAUCUGUUGUUCAUAUGGAAACCGCAUCAAUCAUCAAUCAAUUGAAAAUUUUCUCAAACACACUUUCAUAAUACAUCUCUCUCUCCAAUCAAUCCUUUAAACCCUAAUUUCAAUUUCAUAUAUCUCUGCCUGUUACAUCGUUGUAUCUCUCUGUUCCAUCACAACCUAGAUCUCAGUCUAAAGCAACCAGCAAAAGAGGUAGCGAAACCAGGCAGUGGCUGUGUCUAGCGGCGGCAAUGGUGGUAUAAUGUUGAUGGUGGAGGAGUCGCGACAGCAGUGGUUUUGUGAGAUGUUGAAAGAAGAUGCAAAUAACGGAGAAGUGUCGUUUUAUGUACCUGUUGCACUCAAAGAAUUGAAUGAAAAUGUUGAUGAUUUGACCUUAGCAGAUUCCUCAGGUUUUAAUUUGGAGACUGUUGAGUACCAAAACAUUAGCUUCACAGUUCGGGAUGUCUGGGGUCAGGACAAGAUUCAUCCAUUAUGGAGGCACUAUUUCCAGAACACCCAGGGUCUUAUCUUUGAGGUUGAUAGCAACGACAGGGAUAGAGUUGUUGAGGUAAGAGAUGAAUUUCACAAGAUGUUGAAUGAAGUAAGUGAUUGAUUUGUUUAAAUAUAUGUCUGAUUGAUCACUUGUUGGAUUGUGGAGUACAUGUUGUGUGUCAUUGUUUCCUAUGUCAAUAACUACAUAGAUUUUGUUUUAGUUGUUCUCCUUAUGUUUGCUAACAAACAAGAUCUCCCAAAUGCAAUGAAUGCUGCUGAAAUCACCGAUAAGCUUGGUCUCCACUCUCUCCGACAGCGCUACUGGUACAUCCAGAGCACUUGUGCAACCUUCAGAGAAGGACUUUACGAAGGAUUGGACAGGCUUUUCAACAACAUAGCAAACAAGGCAUGAGGCAGUGAUUUGAUAACGUGAGGAUGGAUAUUGGCAGUUUGUGGUGCUACUGGUUUUGGAACUUGUUAUUUGAAAGGUACCUCGGAACAUGGACUUUAGCUUGGAUGUACAAAAGAUUACUGAAGUUAUUGAGCGUGAGAAACCAAAGAUCAUUUUUCUAACUUCUCCUAACAAUCCAGAUGGGAGAUACUUGAUCUACCAAAUCUUGUUGUACUGGAUGAAGCGUACAUUGAAUUUUCAGGACUUGAAUCAAAGAUGGGAUGGGUGAAGAAGCAUGAGAAUCUUAUUGUUCUUCGAACAUUUAGUAAAAGAGCAGGCCUAGCUGGACUACGAGUGGGAUAUGGAGCGUUUCCUUUGAGUAUAAUCGAAUACCUUUGGAGGGUAAAGCAACCAUAUAACGUGUCUGUUGCUACUCAAGUUUGUAUUUGGGAGAAGAUAUAAAUGCAGUUGCCAUCAAGGAGGUGAAAGAACUGGCUGUAGUCACUUCAUGUCUCAACCCGAGUGAUGGCAACUUUUGGAUAAGAUUUUCGUUUUCUUUUUAAGUUUGCGCAAUAGACUUGGUUUAGAGGUGGUGAAACAAGCCAACAGUCGGGUUGGUUAACUGGUACAUCUGACAUGUUCUAUAGGUUUUUCAGUUUAACUUGUGUUCGUUUGUAGUGAAGAAAUUCCGUAUCUGUCAGUUCUAGUUCUAAUGGGUGCCCGACCAUCUGGAAUCCUCAUGGAUUGAGAACGAAUACGGGCCAAUGAAGCUUGAACUUGGAGCACUGGCUUGCGGGUUUCCUUUUGGUGAUCUUAACAAAGUUUCAAGCCCUGAUGCUGAAUGCAAAGAUGGAAUCCUUCCCCUGUUUGGCCGAUCAAGGAAGUCGGUAGUGAAGUUGUGAUAGACAAGAGCUAAUUCAUCAAAACUUUUUUAAUGAAAAUCUUCGAGACAGUGGGAAUACAGAAAUUGAAGGUGUUGAUUCAACCAAUGCUUCUUAUGGUGGAACUGCAGCAUUGUCUAACUGUGUGAAUUGGGUGGAAAGUACUUCAUCGGAUGGAUGAUUUUGUCUCCACAGACAAAGUGGUAUAGCCAUUACUUGAGUAUAUUUACUAAAGAUCUAUUCUAAAGUUCAAUAUUAGCUAAAAUACAAAUCGGGUUAUGGUCCACUACUAAGUAGGGAUUAGCACGGUACUGUUCGAUACUGAACCGGUACUGGUACCGAAAACGAGAAAAGUGGGUAUCACUAUCAGUACCGAAUAUACUGGUUCGGUACCGGUAUUUACCACCCGUAAGUAAAUACCGGUACCGUACCGGUACCGGUACCGAAAAAAAUGUGGACCAAAAACACUAUCAUGACUUUAGUUUAAAAAAGUACUCUUUCUAAACUAGAUGGAUAUCUUUAAGUAUUGUUUCUAAACUACGGGCGAAACACGCUUCGAUUUUUUAAUGGAUUCGAGGAUGCGGUUAGUCCACUUAUGGGUGCGGCUUGGCCCGCACUCACUGAGUUGACUAAACCGACGCUUAAGUCAUCUUCGUUGGUGUCAUUAAAAGCACAUUCUAAUACUAGCUCAAUAAUUUCAUCACAAGUCGGUUCUUGGACUGACCAAAGACUUGAAGUGAUUAUUUUUUUUAAAAACCGAAACCGGGUUUUUUAAAAACUGGUUUUUUUCUAACCGGUAAGGGUGGAAACAUCAAAUAGUUUCUGCAGUUUUUUAAAGUUUUUUUAUAUUAUUUUUUUAUUUUUUUAAAUUUAAAUUUUUUUUAUUCUUUAAUUUUUUUUUUCAUCUCAUUCUUACCUGACUCAUCCUUACCCGAACCCAUCCUGACCCAUACCCAUCCUAACCCAAACCCAUCUUAAUCAAUUACCCAAACCCACUCCAGGAGCAUAUAUAUGUCUAUGAAAUUAUCAUUUCUCCCAGAGUCUUGCUGCAAGUAAGUACCUCUGACUUGUAUAUUUCAUACUCAAUCUUUUGUAGCCAUCUUCUUUUUCUUUAACAUGAGUUUUCAUAUAUUUAGGUCUGUAGGGGAAGUAAUCUGCCAUGGGAUUGCAGAUGUAAGAUUCUCAACACCUUAAACAUGAGGCCGAAGAUGGUAAAAAAAAGAGACAGAGAGUGGCGGAGUAAUGGCAGUCGCUCACGGUCUCUGGCUGGCCGUUCUAUUCCGACGAUUGGCAUCUACGGUGACAAGUAAAAAGAUGCGAUCUUGACAAGAUGUGGAGACAGAAUCGCCGAUUAUUGUAGUCUCUCACUAAUUUCUUUGGAUGCAUGCCUUGUUUCUAAACCUGCCGAUUCAUCUAAUCCGUGGGAUCAUAGCUCUGUGGAUUGUAACUUUAUAUGGAGGAAUUAGUCUACUGAAACUAUUCAUGAAGUUGUAGCACCUUAGCAUGUCAUCUUACCCGACCGGAUGAUAGGUAAAAUUUCUAUUUUCUUCAAAUUGUCAAUUUUAUAAGGUUUUAAAUAAGAGGGGAACACAUCGAACGUGUUGAAAGACAUAGAAAGUCUGUUUUUAUUCAUUAACUUCCUAAGUUAGAUCAUCAUUGUAAAAGUAUAUCUCUAUAAUCCUAAUAUUUAUAAAAAACUGAUGGACAAAAUUUGUUGGUUAACUUAGCACAACCCAUUUGACUCGCAUUCAAAAUGAUUGCUUUCAACCUAUAUCCAUUUUGAUCCGCAUUUAAAAUGGUUUGUUUAAACCCGUACCCAUUUUGACCUGGUACCCAACCUGUUCUACCCCCAAUGCUUACUGUAUAUGCUUCUCAAUUUGUUUCGCUUACUAUAUGUUUUCCUGUAACUUCACCUUUUUUACUUAUUUGUUCUGGAGGGUAUAACGGUAAAGUGGUCUCUUACAUGCUAGAGAAGGGAUUGUUUUUAGCUCUUGCAUUUGAGAGGCAAUGAAGCAAAAUGUCUCCUUCAAGGAAUAACAAAGAGCACUAGACAAAUAAUUGAGGAACAAGAAUUAGUAUGUUGACGUUUGUUUAACAAUUUAUGGCAACAAGAGUAGGUUAGGAUAAUGGGUCCAUUUGGGUUUGGGGUUGAAAUCGUCAUUUUUACUCCUAUUCCGACAUCAUUAUAUAACUUUUCAACUACUUGCAAUGACAUUUCGAUAUAUAACCUUUUUCGUCCUCAAAAGUGUUAACUCUAUUGAUUCAGUGACCAAGGUGUUGGUGGGUAAGUUCAUUUAGUCCAAAAAGCUUUAUUUCCACGCUUAAUAUAGGUUGAAGAACAUAGAAUAUGGAGGUGGCAAGAUGGUCGUGUUGAAAAGAAUCAGUCCAGGUCGGUUGAAGAAAUCUUUAACGAUUUGUGAUUUUUUCUCAUUCAUGUAUUUCAAUUAUUCAGUGUACUCUAAUAUUUACGUUAGUAGUUUAACAUUUAUAUAAUUAAAAUAUUUGUUUCAACA